rnacentral:rRNA from 1 species
AGUGAACGCUGGCGGUAGGCCUAACACAUGCAAGUCGAACGGCAGCACAAGAGAGCUUGCUCUCUGGGUGACGAGUGGCGAACGGGUGAGUAAUACAUCGGAACGUGCCUAGUAGUGGGGGAUAACUACUCGAAAGAGUGGCUAAUACCGCAUGAGAUCUACGGAUGAAAGCAGGGGAUCGCAAGACCUUGUGCUACUAGAGCGGCCGAUGGCAGAUUAGGUAGUUGGUGGGAUAAAAGCUUACCAAGCCGACGAUCUGUAGCUGGUCUGGGAGGACGAUCAGCCACACUGGGACUGAGACACGGCCCAGAUUCCUACGGGAGGCAGCAGUGGGGAAUUUUGGACAAUGGGCGAAAGCCUGAUCCAGCAAUGCCGCGUGCAGGAUGAAGGCCUUCGGGUUGUAAACUGCUUUUGUACGGAACGAAAAGCCCCGGGUUAAUACCCUGGGGUCAUGACGGUACCGUAAGAAUAAGCACCGGCUAACUACGUGCCAGCCGCCGCCGUAA